UUUAUGCAAAUCAGAGCAGAUAGGCUGCAAACAGCAGUCUCCUAGGUAAGUGUACUCAGCUUGUUGCCUGUACAGGUUGCCGUAAGGGACCUUGGAAACAGUC
rnacentral:snoRNA from 1 species